rnacentral:lncRNA from 1 species
GUCUCCAGUGACUGGGUGACAAAAUACCCAAGGUGGUAUACAACCAUUUUUAUUAAACCUCAGCUGAUUGUGAGAUGGCUGUCAAUCCAUAGGUUACCUAUAUGGAGCCCUGCAUGUAUUAAUCUUACUUCUUUUUUUCAGAGAUCCCUGGAGAUAAUUGCAAUACCACAAUCUUGCUGAACUUUCACUAGCUCCAUCACCUCCAUCACAGCCUCUACAACCAAUGUUAUCUCCCAGAAGAGGGAGCAUAUAAUUAGAGAAAAGUUUAAAUUGAUGCAAGGAUUUGAGGAGCUAAAAGGCCACUCAUAGCUGAACAAGACACUUAAAACUUUAAAACAACCUCCUGAAGGGAAAAAUGGACAAUCCCAAAGUGAAACCAAGAUUAUCACAUUAAGCGACUCCAAUAUUGUAAAGCUGAGAACAGGUGCAAGAGGAACGCCUGCAGCCACAGCUGAUAACAUUCACGGAGUGUGCCAGUGGUUCUGCCAUUGAAU